rnacentral:rRNA from 1 species
UUGCUUCUCUGCUGACGAGCGGCGGACGGGUGAGUAAGACUUGGGAAUUUGCCUUUAGGCGGGGGACAACCACUGGAAACGGUGGCUAAUACCGCAUAAUGUCUACGGACCAAAGUGGGGGACCUUCGGGCCUCACACCUAAAGAUGAGCCCAAGCGGGAUUAGCUAGUUGGUGGGGUAAAGGCUCACCAAGGCGACGAUCCCUAGCUGUUCUGAGAGGAUGAUCAGCCACACUGGGACUGAGACACGGCCCAGACUCCUACGGGAGGCAGCAGUG